rnacentral:rRNA from 1 species
UACGUAGGGUGCGAGCGUUAAUCGGAAUUACUGGGCGUAAAGCGUGCGCAGGCGGUUCGUUGUGUCGGUGGUGAAAGCCCCGGGCUUAACCUGGGAAUGGCCGUCGAAACUGGCGAACUGGAGUGUGGCAGAGGGGGGUGGAAUUCCGCGUGGUAGCAGUGAAAUGCGUAGAGAUGCGGAGGAACACCGAUGGCGAAGGCAGCCCCCUGGGCUGACACUGACGCUCAGGCACGAAAGCGUGGGGAGCAAACAGG